rnacentral:tRNA from 2 species
GGAAUUGUAGCUCAGUUGGUAGAGCGGAGGCAGCCAAAACCUCAGGCCAAAGGUUCAAGUCCUUUCAAUUCCC